CACACAGCCGUCUCAAUAUGGCGAUUAGCGUUGCUUGGUAGUGCAAUGUGGAA
rnacentral:rRNA from 1 species